CCUACGGGAGGCAGCAGUGGGGAAUAUUGCGCAAUGGGCGAAAGCCUGACGCAGCGACGCCGCGUGAGGGAUGAAGGUCUUCGGAUCGUAAACCUCUGUCAGCAGGGAAGAACGGUCACUGUGCUAAUCAGCAGUGAAUUGACGGUACCUGCAAAGGAAGCACCGGCUAACUCCGUGCCAGCAGCCGCGGUAAUACGGAGGGUGCGAGCGUUAAGAGGAAUUACUGGGCGUAAAGCGCUCGUAGGCGGUAUGUCAAGUCAAGGGUGAAAGCCCCGCGCUCAACGUGGGAACUGCAUUGGAUACUGGCAAACUGGAGUGUGUGAGAGGAUAGUGGAAUUCCAGGUGUAGGAGUGAAAUCCGUAGAUAGCAGGAGGAACAUCAGUGGCGAAGGCGACUAUCUGGCACAUAACUGACGCUGAGGAGCGAAAGCGUGGGUAGCAAACAGGAUUAGAUACCCCUGUAGUC
rnacentral:rRNA from 1 species